AAAGCAGGGUACGCGCCCCCUCGGCGCGCGUUUUGUUUUGUCUCACCCUCUUCCGCCCCCCUCUUCUUUCCCCCGUUUGAAAACCCCACUGGGAAAAAUUCUUUCGGAGGGCCAAUUCGGACCCCCGGCGCGGCCGGGGCCCCGGGGGGUCCCCACCCCGCCUCCCCUUAAUGUUCCUAUUCUAUCACUUCUGUACAUUCCGCAAGAAACCCGUUUUUUCCUUUUUUUUUUUUAAAGAAUAAACCCUUAAUCACCCGCCCGUUUUAAACCGUCGUACAAGUUCGGUAGGGCGUUCGUUUUUGUUCCUUUCAGCUAAUCCUCCAAAGGGGGCAAAGGCGGCGAACCUGCAACAACGUUAUGUUUGGAAAACUCCUGUCUUUUCCAAAUCUCGACGUCCCAAAAACUCCGGCCCAUUUUUUUUUUUCCCCCUCCCUAAAGGGCUAAUUUCCGGCCAGUGUUAACGAAUUUCCCCUUUUCCGCCGAAACUUGACCAUUACAAUAAGCGGGGAAAAAAAAACUACCAAGGAUUCCCUUUGUAUCGGCGAGUAAAGCGGGAUGAACUCAAAUUGAAAUUCUGGUACCCUUUGGUUGCCCCAUUUGUAAUCUAGUGAAGCGUUUUCCGUGCUGGACUGUGUCCAAGUUUCCGGGAUACGGAACAUCAUGGAGGGUGAGAUGUCCCGUCCUUGACACAGCCUCCCAGUGUUUUGUGAUGCGCCCUCAUCGAGUCGAGUUGUUUGGGAUUGCAGCUCAAAAUGGGAGGUAAAUUCCUUCUAAAGCUAAUUAUUGGCGAGAGUACCGAUAGCGAACAAGUACCGUGAGGGAAAGAUGAAACGCACUUUGGAAAGAGAGUUAACCAGUCCGUGAAUUUGUUAAAAGGGAAACGAUUGAAGUCAGUCGCGUCUACUUGGACUCAGCCUUCCCUUGGUUUGGUGCAUUUCCUUGUGGACGGGCCAGUGUCCAUGUUGAUUGCUGGAAAAGGUUCAGGGGAAUGUGGCUCUUUUAGAGUGUCAUAGCCUCUGUUCAGAUCCAGUAGUUGAUAUGGAGUGAUACAGCAUGCUUCGCCGGUGCUUGUACUGGCAUAAUGGCUUUAAACGACCCGUCUUGAACCGCG
rnacentral:rRNA from 1 species